GAAGACCAAGGGUUCCUGUCCAACGUUAAUCGGGGCAGGGUAAGUCGACCCCUAAGGCGAGGCCGAAAGGCGUAGUCGAUGGGAAACGGGUUAAUAUUCCCGUACUUCUUACAAUUGCGAUGGGGGGACGGAGAAGGCUAGGUGGGCCUGGCGACGGUUGUCCAGGUUCAAGUGCGUAGGCUUAAGAGUUAGGUAAAUCCGGCUCUUUUUAAGGCUGAGACACGACGUCGAGC
rnacentral:rRNA from 1 species